AUACGAAGGUGGCAAGCGUUAUUCGGAAUUACUGGGCAUAAAGGGCCUGCAGGCGGCCUGUUAAGUUGAUAGUGAAAUCCCUUGGCUCAACCAAGGAAUGGCUAUCAAAACUGGCAAGCUAGAGUGUUGGAGAGGUGAGUGGAAUUCUUGGUGGAGCGGUGGAAUGCGUAGAUAUCAGGAGGAACAUCAGUGGCGAAGGCGACUCACUGGACUAAUACUGACGCUGAGGUGCGAAAGCGUGGGGAGCAAACAGGAUUAGAAACCCCAGUAGUCC
rnacentral:rRNA from 1 species